GGACGGGUGAGUAAUACUUAGGGAUCUGCCUCUGUGUGGGGGAUAACUAUUGGAAACGAUAGCUAAUACCGCAUAACGUCUACGGACCAAAGAGGGCUUCGGCUCUCGCGCAGAGAGGAACCUAAGCGAGAUUAGCUUGUUGGUGAGGUAAAGGCUCACCAAGGCGACGAUCUCUAGCUGUUCUGAGAGGAAGAUCAGCCACACUGGAACUGAGACACGGUCCAGACUCCUACGGGAGGCAGCAGUGGGGAAUAUUGCACAAUGGGGGAAACCCUGAUGCAGCCAUGCCGCGUGUGUGAAGAAGGCCUUCGGGUUGUAAAGCACUUUCAGUUGUGAGGAAAGUUAUGUAGUUAAUACCUGCAUGAUGUGACGUUAACAACAGAAGAAGCACCGGCUAACUCCGUGCCAGCAGCCGCGGUAAUACGGAGGGUGCGAGCGUUAAUCGGAAUUACUGGGCGUAAAGCGCACGCAGGCGGUCUGUUAAGCUAGAUGUGAAAGCCCCGCGCUCAACGUGGGAGGGUCAUUUAGAACUGGCAGACUAGAGUCUUGGAGAGGGGAGUGGAAUUCCAGGUGUAGCGGUGAAAUGCGUAGAGAUCUGGAGGAACAUCAAUGGCGAAGGCAACUCCCUGGCCAAAGACUGACGCUCAUGUGCGAAAGUGUGGGUAGCGAACAGGAUUAGAUACCCUGGUAGUCCACACCGUAAACGCUGUCUACUAGCUGUUUGUGGAUUUAAUCCGUGAGUAGCGAAGCUAACGCGAUAAGUAGACCGCCUGGGGAGUACGGCCGCAAGGUUAAAACUCAAAUG
rnacentral:rRNA from 1 species